rnacentral:lncRNA from 1 species
CCAGGAACCAGCAUUUUAUGGUGAAAAACAAACAAACAAAAUACAGCUGUGAUAGAAACUGGAAUCCUUGUGCUCAGUGACAAAUUCUGAGCAAGGAGAAGAGGAGAAAUUAAUCCUUUUCUUGCAUUCAGGUCUUAGAAGAGCAACUCAUAAUGAAUUAAGAGCCAGGAGUGUCAAACCCUUGCAGUUUCUUACAAUAAACUUGAGAGAAGUAACUAUCACGGAACUGCAAACAUCAAGAUCCCCUUUCUGUCAGCCUUGUACUUUCUCAGACUUGCUGGCUGCAAUCUGGAGUCCUUGGUGAUUCUUGUGAGGAAAUACUGCACCUCCCUAAGGCAUGCUUGCUUUGGUACAAGCUGGAUGGCCACUGGAAAGCAGAACUACAGGAAAAAGCGUGCCUGGCACAGGUGAUGGAGACACAUGUUGAUGGGACAUGUUGAGAUGUUGAUUAGUAACUCUGCUGCAUAAGGACAGCUGAAGAAACUGCAAAUCUUCACUGCUCUGAGAAUCAGAAAAGGUAGCAGUCUGAAUCAAAAGCCCAUUCUGGUUGGUAGGAAGAUGACAAAAGAAAGCAGCAAAGAAUGUCUGCAGCUUUUAUGCCAGAAACAGUCUACAAGUAACUGAAUUUCCAGAAAUGUAAAGCUGCUCCAGAAUAAACUAUAUUUUGUGCUAAGCA